rnacentral:rRNA from 1 species
CUGAUGCAAGGACCCCGCNUNNNGGAUGACGGCCUUCGGGUUGUAAANCNCUUUCAGCAGGGAAGAAGNNCAAGUGACGGUACCUGCAGAAGAAGCGCCGGCUAACUACGUGCCAGCAGCCGCGGUAAUACGUAGGGCGCAAGCGUUGUCCGGAAUUAUUGGGCGUAAAGAGCUCGUAGGCGGUUUGUCGCGUCUGGUGUGAAAACUCGAGGCUCAACCUCGAGCUUGCAUCGGGUACGGGCAGACUAGAGUGCGGUAGGGGAGACUGGAAUUCCUGGUGUAGCGGUGGAAUGCGCAGAUAUCAGGAGGAACACCGAUGGCGAAGGCAGGUCUCUGGGCCGCAACUGACGCUGAGGAGCGAAAGCAUGGGGAGCGAACAGGAUUAGAUACCCUGGUAGUCCAUGCCGUAAACGUUGGGCACUAGGUGUGGGGCUCAUUCCACGAGUUCCGUGCCGCAGCAAACGCAUUAAGUGCCCCGCCUGGGGAGUACGGCCGCAAGGCUAAAACUCAAAGGAAUUGACGGGGGCCCGCACAAGCGGCGGAGCAUGCGGAUUAAUUCGAUGCAACGCGAAGAACCUUACCAAGGCUUGACAUGCACGGGAAGCCACCAGAGAUGGUGGUCUCUUUGGACACUCGUGCACAGGUGGUGCAUGGUUGUCGUCAGCUCGUGUCGUGAGAUGUUGGGUUAAGUCCCGCAACGAGCGCAACCCUCGUCCCAUGUUGCCAGCGGGUUAUGCCGGGGACUCAUGGGAGACUGCCGGGGUCAACUCGGAGGAAGGUGGGGAUGACGUCAAAUCAUCAUGCCCCUUAUGUCUUGGGCUUCACGCAUGCUACAAUGGCCGGUACAAAGGGCUGCGAUACCGUAAGGUGGAGCGAAUCCCAAAAAGCCGGUCUCAGUUCGGAUUGGGGUCUGCAACUCGACCCCAUGAAGUCGGAGUCGCUAGUAAUCGCAGAUCAGCAACGCUGCGGUGAAUACGUUCCCGGGCCUUGUACACACCGCCCGUCAAGUCACGAAAGUCGGUAACACCCGAAGCCCAUGGCCCAACCGGUUCGCCGGGGGGAGUGGUCGAAGGUGGGACUGGCGA